CCUACGGGAGGCAGCAGUAAGGAAUAUUGGACAAUGGACGCAAGUCUGAUCCAGCCAUGCCGCGUGAAGGAUUAAGGCCCUCUGGGUUGUAAACUUCUUUUAUAGGGGACGAAAAAAGGGCUUUCUAGCUCGACUGACGGUACCCUAUGAAUAAGCACCGGCUAACUCCGUGCCAGCAGCCGCGGUAAUACGGAGGGUGCAAGCGUUAUCCGGAUUCACUGGGUUUAAAGGGUGCGUAGGCGGGCAGUUAAGUCAGUGGUGAAAUCUUCGAGCUCAACUCGGAAACUGCCAUUGAUACUAUCUGUCUUGAAUAUUGUGGAGGUGAGCGGAAUAUGUCAUGUAGCGGUGAAAUGCUUAGAUAUGACAUAGAACACCGAUUGCGAAGGCAGCUCGCUACACAAAUAUUGACGCUGAGGCACGAAAGCGUGGGGAUCAAACAGGAUUAGAUACCCUGGUAGUCCACGCCCUAAACUAUGGAUACUCGACAUUUGCGAUACACAGUAAGUGUCUGAGAGAAGANAUAAGUAUCCACCNGGAGACGACCGCGAGUAGUAACGUUAAUAGAGUAGAGAGNGAGAGNGCGAGGACGACGACGAGGGAGAGG
rnacentral:rRNA from 1 species